rnacentral:misc_RNA from 1 species
UCGUAACAAGGUUUCCGUAGGUGAACCUGCGGAAGGAUCAUUACCGAGUGCGGGUUCUAACGAGCCCAACCUCCCACCCGUGUUUACUGUUACCGCGUUGCCUCGGCGGGCCCACUGGGGCCUGGCCCCGGUCGCCGGGGGGCUUCUGCCCCCGGGCCCGCGCCCGCCGAAGCACCCUAGAACCCUGCCUGAAUAGUGAGUCUGAGUGAGAGAUUAAAUCAUUAAAACUUUCAACAACGGAUCUCUUGGUUCCGGCAUCGAUGAAGAACGCAGCGAAAUGCGAUAAGUAAUGUGAAUUGCAGAAUUCCGUGAAUCAUCGAAUCUUUGAACGCACAUUGCGCCCCCUGGCAUUCCGGGGGGCAUGCCUGUCCGAGCGUCAUUUCUGCCCUCCAGCACGGCUGGGUGUUGGGCGCUGUCCCCCCGGGGACACGCCCCAAAAGCAGUGGCGGCGCCGCGUCGGGUCCUCGAGCGUAUGGGGCUUUGUCACCCGCUCGGGAGGGACUCGGUCGGCGCUGGUCUUCCCUUUAGGCAGCCCUUCGGGGUGUGCCUCUUCCGGUUGACCUCGGAUCAGGUAGGGCUACCCGCUGAACCUAAGCAUAUC